GACGAACGCUGGCGGCGUGCUUAACACAUGCAAGUCGAACGAAGUCGCGAACGGGUGAGUAACGCGUAAUCAACCUGCACUUCAGAGGGGGACAACAGUUGGAAAUGACUGCUAAUACCGCAUACUGAAGGAGGGGAUUGCGUCUGAUUAGCUAGUUGGAGGGGUAACGGCCCACCAGGGCGAUGAUCAGUAGCCGGUCGGAGAGGAUGAACGGCCACAUUGGGACUGGGACAAGGCCCAGACUCCUACGGGAGGCAGCAGUGGGGAAUCAUCCGAAAUGGACGAAAGUCUGAAGGAGCAACGCCGCGUGGGUGAUGACGGCCUUCGGGUUGUAAAGCUAUUUGAAUCGGGACGCGGUACCGGAAUAGAAAGCCACGGCUAACUACGUGCCAGCCGCCGCGGUAAUAC
rnacentral:rRNA from 1 species